GCCACAAAAUGCAGUGCAAAACAGUUGAUACACCUAGCAAAGACCUUCAACAGCCAUCUCCUAAAGUUUUGGUGAAUGCAUCAUCAAAGAAGCUAGAUUCAACAGCUUCAACAAGAGUAGCUUGCUGCAGAAAUCAAAGAUUUUGUACUUGUAAAAGUUGUAUGGAGUACAGCCGACAUAAUGAGAUCAGCCUAAAAUUGGUUCAGAAGAAUGAAGCCUCUGAGCCAUUUUCAAGUAAAAAAUUUGUUGGUGUGGCUGAUAAACAGUGUAAACAAUUGUUAGAUGCAUUGGGAAUUUUCAAUUCGAAUAAGGAAUUGUUUGUAAAUCUACUACAAGACCCAAAUUCUCUGUUAAUUAAACGUAUUGAAGGCUCUACUGAUUCGAGGAACAGAAAACAGCAGAUGAUGACUUUCUUUGAUAGCAGGUUGUCUGAAAACAAGAUAAGAGAAGUGGGGGAAUAUGAGGAGCCUAAGUACUGUCAAAACUUGAAGCCCUGUGAUAGAUUACCUGCUGAGGAUAGUGAUGACUCUCUAUCUUUGGAAAGAAUAGUUGUAUUAAAGCCAAAUUCAACUAGCUCACUACAGGCGGCUGUGGGAACCAAUUAUUGCUCCUCUCUGAAAUCUCAUUCUAGUGGCAUAAAGAAUGGGCAGAGUGACAAGGGAACUCUUUUUUCUUUUAGACAAAUAAAAAGGAAGAUGAAGCAAGCAAUGAGGGUAGGGAGAAAAGAAGGUGAAUGCCUAUCGACUAAUGGUAUACCUAAAGAAACGCCAGUGAUCUGUAGAGUCCCAAAAGAUGAUGGUAAACAGACGUUUAUAGAGGCAACUGGAAGAAGUUCCUAUAGUAAUAUUCAAACAGAUGAUAAAGGAAUUUCUAGUUCGUUUCAAGAUUCCCUAGGAAGAGAUCAAGAAGACAAGGCAUUUUACUCUAGAAAUGGGGACAAGACGGCUUCUACCAGUGAAAGUACCUACAAAAAAAUUGUCCAGUCAGCUGUGCCAAGUAAUCUCAAACGGCAGAAGUCUAAGAAGCACGAAGGAGAUAAAGAGGUUUCAAGAAAAACGAAAGCAAAACCAUGGGGGUGGGUGAUGUGCUUUUCUGAUGAUGACAUAUUGCCAUCAAAUAAACCUGGAUGCGAUACUGCAGGCCGUAUGAGAUAUUCCCACCUUGGCAAUAAGAAGUUUAUUCACGAGAAGAAGACAAAACCUCAGAAUGAUGAGGAACGAUGUUGCAAGACUCCAGAAAUGGUUAAAGUAGGAGCUUCUUUUGCAGAGGCGGGGAGGGAGGAUGAUCAAUUGCAUGCCUCGACUACAGAGUUGAAUGUAUC
rnacentral:lncRNA from 1 species